rnacentral:rRNA from 1 species
UUAAGCGACUAAGCGUACACGGUGGAUGCCCUGGCAGUCAGAGGCGAUGAAGGACGUGCUAAUCUGCGAAAAGCGUCGGUAAGGUGAUAUGAACCGUUAUAACCGGCGAUGUCCGAAUGGGGAAACCCAGUGUGAUUCGUCACACUAUCGUUAACUGAAUACAUAGGUUAACGAGGCGAACCGGGGGAACUGAAACAUCUAAGUACCCCGAGGAAAAGAAAUCAACCGAGAUUCCCCCAGUAGCGGCGAGCGAACGGGGAGCAGCCCAGAGUCUGAAUCAGCUUGUGUGUUAGUGGAACGGUCUGGAAAGUCCGACGGUACAGGGUGAUAGUCCCGUACACCAAAAUGCACAGGCUGUGAACUCGAAGAGUAGGGCGGGACACGUGGUAUCCUGUCUGAAUAUGGGGGGACCAUCCUCCAAGGCUAAAUACUCCUGACUGACCGAUAGUGAACCAGUACCGUGAGGGAAAGGCGAAAAGAACCCCGGCGAGGGGAGUGAAAAAGAACCUGAAACCGUGUACGUACAAGCAGUGGGAGCACCUUCGGGUGUGACUGCGUACCUUUUGUAUAAUGGGUCAGCGACUUAUAUUCUGUAGCAAGGUUAACCGUAUAGGGGAGCCGCAGGGAAACCGAGUCUUAACUGGGCGUUAAGUUGCAGGGUAUAGACCCGAAACCCGGUGAUCUAGCCAUGGGCAGGUUGAAGGUUGGGUAACACUAACUGGAGGACCGAACCGACUAAUGUUGAAAAAUUAGCGGAUGACUUGUGGCUGGGGGUGAAAGGCCAAUCAAACCGGGAGAUAGCUGGUUCUCCCCGAAAGCUAUUUAGGUAGCGCCUCGUGAACUCAUCUUCGGGGGUAGAGCACUGUUUCGGCUAGGGGGUCAUCCCGACUUACCAACCCGAUGCAAACUACGAAUACCGAAGAAUGUUAUCACGGGAGACACACGGCGGGUGCUAACGUCCGUCGUGAAGAGGGAAACAACCCAGACCGCCAGCUAAGGUCCCAAAGUCAUGGUUAAGUGGGAAACGAUGUGGGAAGGCACAGACAGCCAGGAUGUUGGCUUAGAAGCAGCCAUCAUUUAAAGAAAGCGUAAUAGCUCACUGGUCGAGUCGGCCUGCGCGGAAGAUGUAACGGGGCUAAACCAUGCACCGAAGCUGCGGCAGCGACACUAUGUGUUGUUGGGUAGGGGAGCGUUCUGUAAGCCUGCGAAGGUGACCUGUGAGGGUUGCUGGAGGUAUCAGAAGUGCGAAUGCUGACAUAAGUAACGAUAAAGCGGGUGAAAAGCCCGCUCGCCGGAAGACCAAGGGUUCCUGUCCAACGUUAAUCGGGGCAGGGUGAGUCGACCCCUAAGGCGAGGCCGAAAGGCGUAGUCGAUGGGAAACAGGUUAAUAUUCCUGUACUUGGUGUUACUGCGAAGGGGGGACGGAGAAGGCUAUGUUAGCCGGGCGACGGUUGUCCCGGUUUAAGCAUGUAGGCUGAUUAUCCAGGCAAAUCCGGAUAAUCAAGGCUGAGGUGUGAUGACGAGGCACUACGGUGCUGAAGUAACAAAUGCCCUGCUUCCAGGAAAAGCCUCUAAGCAUCAGGUAACAUCAAAUCGUACCCCAAACCGACACAGGUGGUCAGGUAGAGAAUACCAAGGCGCUUGAGAGAACUCGGGUGAAGGAACUAGGCAAAAUGGUGCCGUAACUUCGGGAGAAGGCACGCUGGUGUGUAGGUGAAGCCCCUGCGGGUGGAGCUGAGACCAGUCGAAGAUACCAGCUGGCUGCAACUGUUUAUUAAAAACACAGCACUGUGCAAACACGAAAGUGGACGUAUACGGUGUGACGCCUGCCCGGUGCCGGAAGGUUAAUUGAUGGGGUUAUCCGUAAGGAGAAGCUCUUGAUCGAAGCCCCGGUAAACGGCGGCCGUAACUAUAACGGUCCUAAGGUAGCGAAAUUCCUUGUCGGGUAAGUUCCGACCUGCACGAAUGGCGUAAUGAUGGCCAGGCUGUCUCCACCCGAGACUCAGUGAAAUUGAACUCGCUGUGAAGAUGCAGUGUACCCGCGGCAAGACGGAAAGACCCCGUGAACCUUUACUAUAGCUUGACACUGAACAUUGAGCCUUGAUGUGUAGGAUAGGUGGGAGGCUUUGAAGCGUGGACGCCAGUCUGCGUGGAGCCAACCUUGAAAUACCACCCUUUAAUGUUUGAUGUUCUAACGUUGGCCCCUUACCGGGGUUGCGGACAGUGUCUGGUGGGUAGUUUGACUGGGGCGGUCUCCUCCCAAAGCGUAACGGAGGAGCACGAAGGUUAGCUAAUCCUGGUCGGACAUCAGGAGGUUAGUGCAAUGGCAUAAGCUAGCUUGACUGCGAGCGUGACGGCGCGAGCAGGUGCGAAAGCAGGUCAUAGUGAUCCGGUGGUUCUGAAUGGAAGGGCCAUCGCUCAACGGAUAAAAGGUACUCCGGGGAUAACAGGCUGAUACCGCCCAAGAGUUCAUAUCGACGGCGGUGUUUGGCACCUCGAUGUCGGCUCAUCACAUCCUGGGGCUGAAGUAGGUCCCAAGGGUAUGGCUGUUCGCCAUUUAAAGUGGUACGCGAGCUGGGUUUAGAACGUCGUGAGACAGUUCGGUCCCUAUCUGCCGUGGGCGCUGGAGAAUUGAGGGGGGCUGCUCCUAGUACGAGAGGACCGGAGUGGACGCAUCACUGGUGUUCGGGUUGUCAUGCCAAUGGCACUGCCCGGUAGCUAAAUGCGGAAGAGAUAAGUGCUGAAAGCAUCUAAGCACGAAACUUGCCCCGAGAUGAGUUCUCCCUGAGACUUUAAGUCUCCUGAAGGAACGUUGAAGACGACGACGUUGAUAGGCCGGGUGUGUAAGCGCAGCGAUGCGUUGAGCUAACCGGUACUAAUGAACCGUGAGGCUUAACCUU